rnacentral:rRNA from 1 species
GUACACUCCUACGGGAGGCAGCAGUGGGGAAUAUUGGACAAUGGGCGCAAGCCUGAUCCAGCCAUGCCGCGUGAGUGAUGAAGGCCCUAGGGUUGUAAAGCUCUUUCACCGGUGAAGAUAAUGACGGUAACCGGAGAAGAAGCCCCGGCUAACUUCGUGCCAGCAGCCGCGGUAAUACGAAGGGGGCUAGCGUUGUUCGGAUUUACUGGGCGUAAAGCGCACGUAGGCGGACUAUUAAGUCAGGGGUGAAAUCCCGGGGCUCAACCCCGGAACUGCCUUUGAUACUGGUAGUCUUGAGUUCGAGAGAGGUGAGUGGAAUUCCGAGUGUAGAGGUGAAAUUCGUAGAUAUUCGGAGGAACACCAGUGGCGAAGGCGGCUCACUGGCUCGAUACUGACGCUGAGGUGCGAAAGCGUGGGGAGCAAACAGGAUUAGAAACCCGGGUAGUCCCAUG